ACUCAGUACAUGUUCCAGGUCCCCAUGCUAUGACCAUCCAAGAGUUGGUAGACUAUGUUAAUGCCAGGCAAAAGCAAGGAAUCUAUGAGGAAUAUGAAGACAUUCGUCGUGAGAACCCUGUUGGCACUUUCCACUGUUCCAUGUCUCCAGGAAACCUAGAGAAAAACCGUUAUGGUGAUGUACCCUGCCUGGACCAAACUAGAGUGAAGCUAACAAAGCGAAGUGGCCAUACUCAGCACAUAAACUGAAUUCACAGUCCUAUCCAGGACCCUUGGAGAAGAUUUUCCUGCAGGAGCAUUUGAGCUAAGAGACUGGCUGGCUGGAGGGUAAAUUCAUCAGUACUGCUGAGAUCAUCAUCGUAUAUGCCCUGAAGGAGUGGAGUACAGUAGUUGAGUUGGGGCUCUGGAGUCAGAGAUAUCUGUAUUUAUCCAUUUUGUUGACUUUCCUGUCUCCAGUACCUAGAACACUGCCUGCCACAUAUCAGACACUCAGGAUAUAUUUGUGAAUGAGUGAAUCUUAGUGUACUGGGAGACUCUUCUAGUCAUCCUGUGGUUAAUAUGAAGAUUAUUGUCUGAUUUGUAGUCCCUCUCCUUACUGAAACAUUAGCGGAGGCUUUAUUUUUAUAGUAAAUGGAGUAUUUAGGCUUUUUUUGAUUUUAUUUUGAUUUUAGUUUUUAGUUUUUUUGACAUUAUUUACUUUGUGGGCCGAAAGCAAAAAAAAA
rnacentral:sRNA from 1 species